UACGUAGGGGGCGAGCGUUGUCCGGAGUUACUGGGCGUAAAGCGCACGCAGGCGGUCUGCUAAGUUUGGAGUGACAGUUGGUGGCUUAACUGCCAAAGUGCUUCGAAAACUGACAGACUUGAGGGCUUCAGAGGGACACGGAAUUCCGGUGGAGCGGUGAAAUGCGUAGAGAUCGGAAAGAACACCAACGGCGAAAGCACUCUGCUGGGCCGACACUGACACUGAGAGACGAAAGCUAGGGGAGCGAAUGGG
rnacentral:rRNA from 1 species